AGUGAACGCUGGCGGUAGGCCUAACACAUGCAAGUCGAACGGCAGCACAGUAAGAGCUUGCUCUUACGGGUGGCGAGUGGCGGACGGGUGAGGAAUACAUCGGAAUCUACUUUUUCGUGGGGGAUAACGUAGGGAAACUUACGCUAAUACCGCAUACGACCUACGGGUGAAAGCAUGGGAUCUUCGGACCUUGCGCGAUUGAAUGAGCCGAUGUCGGAUUAGCUAGUUGGCGGGGUAAAGGCCCACCAAGGCGACGAUCCGUAGCUGGUCUGAGAGGAUGAUCAGCCACACUGGAACUAAGAAACGGUCCAGAGUCCUACGGGAGGCAGCAGUGGGGAAUAUUGGACAAUGGGAGCAAGCCUGAUCCAGCCAUACCGCGUGGGUGAAGAAGGCCUUCGGGUUGUAAAGCCCUUUUGUUGGGAAAGAAAAGCAGCAGGUUAAUACCCCGCUGUUCUGACGGUACCCAAAGAAUAAGCACCGGCUAACUUCGUG
rnacentral:rRNA from 1 species